rnacentral:rRNA from 1 species
CACACCGCCCGUCACACCAUGAGAGCCGACUCAACCAGAAGUCGCUGCUGUUAACCGCAAGGGAACAGGCGCCGAAGGAGGGGUUGGUGAUUGGGGUG